AAUGAACGUUGGCGGCGUGGAUUAGGCAUGCAAGUCGAGCGAGAAUUUGCGAUUGGAAGCUUCGGCCGAAGAAAGUGAAGGAAAGCGGCAAACGGCGUAGUAAGGCGUAGGUACGUACCCUCGGGUCGGGAAUAGCCAUGGGAAACUGUGGGUAAUGCCCGAUAAUCUCUGCGGAGCAAAGGUGUGAUUCCGCCGGAGGAGCGGCUUACGUGAUAUUAGCUAGUUGGUGGGGUAAUGGCCUACCAAGGCAACGAUGUCUAGGGGGUGUGAGAGCAUGGCCCCCACGACCGGAACUGAGACACUGUCCGGACACCUACGGGUGGCUGCAGUCGAGAAUCUUCCGCAAUGGGCGAAAGCCUGACGGAGCGACGCCGCGUGGUGGAUGAAGGCCCUUGGGUCGUAAACACCUGUCAGAGGGGAUGAAAUCAUGGUUGGCAAUCCUUCCAUGUUGACAGAGCCUCAGAGGAAGCACGGGCUAAGUACGUGCCAGCAGCCGCGGUAAAG
rnacentral:rRNA from 1 species